GGAUGUGAGGGCAAUCUCUGUGACAUCUGCCACCUCAUUGGUUGCUAAGGUUGAUUUGGCUGAUCUGGCUGGCUAGGCAGAUGUCCUCUUGCUCUCUCACCACUCCAUGGGCAUCUCUUCUGAAUCUGCAUGCUUGGUCGAAGAGGACGACCAUCCCCGAUAGAGAAGGAGCAUUUCCUCAGUUAAGCAUAUAUGACUAGCUGUGCUCCCCUGCUAGACCCUCCAAAAAAACUCUCAAGUUUAGUAGCUUACAUAGUUUCUUAAUGGGGAAGAUGGAAGUAGGAAAUGUAGGCCAUUUUUAGAUGAAGAGUGAAUGCUUU
rnacentral:snRNA from 1 species